rnacentral:rRNA from 1 species
AUUGAACGCUGGCGGCAGGCCUAACACAUGCAAGUCGAGCGGAUGAAGGGAGCUUGCUCCUGGAUUCAGCGGCGGACGGGUGAGUAAUGCCUAGGAAUCUGCCUGGUAGUGGGGGAUAACGUCCGGAAACGGGCGCUAAUACCGCAUACGUCCUGAGGGAGAAAGUGGGGGAUCUUCGGACCUCACGCUAUCAGAUGAGCCUAGGUCGGAUUAGCUAGUUGGUGGGGUAAAGGCCUACCAAGGCGACGAACCGUAACUGGUCUGAGAGGAUGAUCAGUCACACUGGAACUGAGACACGGUCCAGACUCCUACGGGAGGCAGCAGUGGGGAAUAUUGGACAAUGGGCGAAAGCCUGAUCCAGCCUUGCCGCGUGUGUGAAGAAGGUCUUCGGAUUGUAAAGCACUUUAAGUUGGGAGGAAGGGCAGUAAGUUAAUACCUUGCUGUUUUGACGUUACCAACAGAAUAAGCACCGGCUAACUUCGUG